rnacentral:rRNA from 1 species
UAAGGAAUAUUGGGCAAUGGUCGGAAGACUGACCCAGCCAUGCCGCGUGCAGGAAGACGGCCCUAUGGGUUGUAAACUGCUUUUGUUGGGGAAUAAACCUAUCUACGUGUAGAUAGCUGAAGGUACCUGGCGAAUAAGCAUCGGCUAACUCCGUGCCAGCAGCCGCGGUAAUACGGAGGAUGCAAGCGUUAUCCGGAUUCACUGGGUUUAAAGGGUGCGCAGGCGGGAUAAUAAGUCAGAGGUGAAAUCCUACGGCUCAACUGUAGAACUGCCUUUGAUACUGUUGUUCUUGAGUAAAGUUGGAGUGGGCGGAAUGUGUUGUGUAGCGGUGAAAUGCUUAGAUAUAACACAGAACACCGAUCGCGAAGGCAGCUCACUAAGCUUUAACUGACGCUCAUGCACGAAAGCGUGGGGAUCAAACA